rnacentral:tRNA from 1 species
UCCCUAGUGCUCAGAUGGUAAAGCAUCUGUCUGUAAUGCAGCAGCCCCAGGUUCGAUCCCUGGGUUGGGAA